AUCAUUACUGUGUUUCUGAGAAGUUAUAAAUUUGCCAUCUCCCUCCGCACAAGUUACCUUCUGUGUCUUUCCUGAAGACUAUCUUCCUCUCAAAAUGGACAUGAUGGAUCCACGGAUGUACAGCAGAGAGCCAGGAGGUCCAACCGCCGUAGACAGGAAGGAAUUAAAAUUGUCCUGGAAGCCAUCUUUACUUUAUGGAGACAGGUGAAACCAAAGUUCGAGCUAAAAUCCAUAAGAUGAAGGUGACAACAAAAGUCAACCGUCAUGACAAAAUCAAUGGAAAGAGGAAGACCGCCAAAAACAUCUGAGGAAACUAAGCAUGAAAGAACGUGAGCAUGCAGAAAAGGAGAGGCAGCUAUCAGAGGCAGAGGAAAAUGGGAAAUUGGAUAUGAAAGAAAUACACACCUACAAGUGAGUUCAGAAACUGAACCCCACCCUCUUGGGAAACGCCCAUUGGAGUGUUGUUUUUAACCUUUGUACAAUGUUUAGACCCAGUAAAUGCAUAAAUAGAAACAAAUGGUCAGAAGACAUAUC
rnacentral:sRNA from 1 species